GCCUCCUGUAGAGAGAAAUGUCAAAGAAGGGAGGUUAUAUUUGAAGUAAGAGACAAAUACUCUAGGUUUCAGAAAAGCUCUGUAAGAGCUGGUGUAGACAAUUUCUCUUUGAGCCAUAGCUCUGAGAAGACAAACGUAUUUUCAUCACUGCCUGCUUUUGGAAUUUAUUUUUUAAACAGUUAAUGAAUUAACCAGAAUCAGUCUGCUUUAUUCUCUUCACCCCUUUAGCAAUUCAGUUUCUCAGCUUUUUCAGCCUGGAUGGAAAAGGAAAGAAACACUGAAGUACAGUCAGGUGCAGCUCCUUGAAGACUGUCACUUCCUAAAAGUCACAUUUGACUAUUCAGUUUUUCUGCAACAAUUGUCAGUUGUCACUUGACUCUAAAAACAGAGUGAAGAUGUUUAGAUGAUGAAGUAAGUCCUUCUGCUAACAGACAAUACACACGUGACCAAGUCAGAGACAAGGUCUGGCACUCAUUUACUCCUUGCCAUUAUAAUCCUUUAUUCUGACCAGAUGAAUCACAAGUCAUCAUGCACAAUGUAUCACCCAAUGUUCAGCUGUUUCCACUGGCAGCUGAACGUAUCUGAAUGCAAAAUAGAAACAUUUCUUAGAAAAGCUUAAUCUACUAAUGUGAUAUUAUGCCAGACAUGUUUUCAUACAAGAACACUAUUAAUAUUCUGACUUAAGAAACUGGGAAGCAAAGACACAUUUGACUGGAGCCGAAAGAGAGAAUUGAUGGGUUUUCCCUCAGAUUCUAGUAUGUACUGCAGAAAUGUAGAACACAUACAUUUCCUGUAGUACAAACUGGCCUUCAAAGCAGGUGGUAUUCCCCCUGGAAAUAGCCAUCUGUGCCAACCAUUUAUACAAAGCACCAGGACACUCCCACGGACACUGUCUUUUUGUUCUGCACCCCAACUGCCUCCUGACUGAGCAAAAGACAAGCCUGGCAGCUGAAAGUUUAUGAUGAGUGAAACAUACUGAGCUUUGUAGCUAAUAUUUUUUUUUGUAGCUUAUUUAUCACUGUGAGUGCAAAAAUUUUUUUAAAGUGGUGUCUGAUAGAAUGUAAACCUGUUAAGAUAGGAAAAUAUGGCUUUUUUUCUUCAGUGGAUAGAGAGACUAUUUACUUUGAUAGCAUGGUGCUCUGGACAAGGCCUUGUGCUAUGCCAGUUUAUCCACAAGGUGGCAUUGGCAACUGCACAGUUACACAACUGCAUUCAUUUGCUGAGGAAUUCUUUAACACACAAUUUGUGGUCCGGAAUGGAUCAGCAGAGUUGGCAGAAACAGGCAAUGUUCUUAUUAGGCUUUUUCAUAUAAAAGCUAAAUGUAUCUCCUGUUUUGUAUUUACUGUACAGAUUUACUUUGUUUUAAAGCUAAGAGUGUAUCUAUACUUCCACUACCAGACCUAUCAAUUGCAAAGUUCUUCAAUUAUAAAUGCAGAACACAUAAUUGCUUUUAACAUGAUUAACUGAAGAAAAGGCAAAGCAGUAGUAUUUCUGCUUGUUUGGAACAGGCUCCCCAGGAAAGUGGUCACAGCACCAAGCCUAAUAUAGUUGAAGAUGAUUUUGGACAAUGCUCUCAGGCACAUGACCUUCUGUGAAACUCUGAAAACUAAGUUCAGAAACAAUAUCUACACAAAUCAAAUUACUAUGACAAAAGUGACUCCAAAAUACACAUCAAAUGUUCACAGACCCCGGGCUGCUAUGGCAGAAUCUCACGCUUGCCAUAUAGGUAUAGCCAUUAAUAAACAAAAGAACCUCA